UGGCUGUCAGUUAGUACAGCCGGGUAACGGUUGGUUGUGUGAGAAUGAUUGCCACAAGAGGCACAAGAAACUCUCCCCCUUUCCCCUCAAGUCAAGUCAAGCAUAAGACCCAGCCUUGUAAGAAUAAGACAGCUUGUAUGUGUCCGGUUGAACAUAAGUCUGAAGACCAGCAAGGAACAGAAGAAACAAGUUUGUUUUACAUACAUGUUUAGCUAAAACGUCCAAUCGUCAAAACAGUAGCAGGCCUUUUCCUCUAGCAGGUUCUGGGGUUGUUUUGAAUUCAGGAGAUGGACGAUUUCCAAACUUCAAAAGAUAUCAGUGGUGACGGUCGGAGUCUUUGCUUUGGUGAGAUAGAUCCAUAUCCCACUUCAGAGAAGGAAGCCAAGGGGAACACAAGAAGAGCCAGGAAACCGUGCUGUAUAACACACAUGAUUAAGUCUGAUCUUUGUUAUGGAAAGCCUAAUCGCUCAUCCUGGACGGGAGAGCUUUGCAGUAACAUCGCUCAGAAGCUGGGCGAUAUAAAUCAAUGCUUUGGCAAGAAACCAAACUGACCGGGAACAAAAGAUGGCGAUAAUUCACAGGGAGCCGAGCGGUAGCAUAACCUGCGCUGACUUUAUGUUAUUCUGGAGGCCGAAUGGGGCUCAGGGCUGUUCCUAAACACUCUCCUGUAUCUGCGAAGGCUCUAGGAUUUCUGGGUACUACCAAACCAAGAAAGAAUGGAUGUUGUGACUUAAAACUAUAAGGGAGCUAAGGUGAGGAAAGAGAACAGAGAGACCAAGAAACUCAAGGAUCAAAUAACUUGAACCCUGAACAUCUGUGUAGACUGUGUUCCUUCGGCACAGGUUGAUAGAAGCUCUUGGAAUCCAAAGCCAUGGUUUGGGAAUCGAGCAAGAGAAGGAUGGAAAAUGACUGCUCUUCAGCUGUCAUUUACCCCUGACUAUCAUUUGUCACUGGAAAUAAGGCAAGAGUCCCCUUGAACAGGUUGGUGACAAACCUUAGAAAUCCUUAUAAGAAUGUGUAGUGCCAUUUGAAGCUUGUCUUUUGGAGUUCAGUUCAUGCGGUCCUUGCCAGUGUGACAAUGCUAAUGAUCUUUAUGCCGGGAACUACUCUCAACUCUUUAGAAGUAGCAUCUCAAUUGGUCACUACUCUGAACCCUUU
rnacentral:lncRNA from 1 species